GACCGCGUAGCUCAGUUGGCAGAGCAUUGGGCUAGUAUUCCAAAGGUCGUAGGUUCGAAUCCCACCGUGGUCG